rnacentral:rRNA from 1 species
GAUGAACGCUGGCGGCGUGCUUAAGACAUGCAAGUCGAACGGAGUGUGUAGCAAUACUCACUAAGUGGCGAAUGGGUGAGUAACACGUAGGUGACCUGCCCUGAAGUGCGGAAUAACAGUCCGAAAGGAUUGCUAAUACCGCAUGUGGUCCCGGGCGUUAGAGAACCGGGUCUAAAGCAGUAAUGCGCUUCAGGAGGGGCCUGCGGUCCAUCAGCUAGUUGGUAGGGAAUGGCCUACCAAGGCAACGACGGAUAGGGGACCUGAGAGGGUGGCCCCCACA